GGGAGGACCCGAGGCCUGGCGGGGUGAGCCGAGCGAAGCCGAAAAGCUGCGAGAAGUGGCGGAGAGAGCCGAGCCGAGGUUCCGUUGGGAAGAACGGAGAGGCAGUUGAGCGGUAGAGAGCGCGGAGGCUGGCGGCGCCGCACAGGCAUGCCAAGGCGGGGACGGCGGAAAAUGAAGGCGGCUGGGCUGGAAGGAGCCGUGGAGGACGAGCGUGGAGUCUUCCGGGCGCCCGAGCUGCCCCGAGCGCCCCUCGAAGAGGGUCGUGGUCGCCGGUCUCUCCCGCUACCCUCCUCCCCGCUCCUCCGGCCCCGCCGCUGCCCACGGUGCGGGGCGGUCUGGCCGGACAACGGCGUGUCCUCCACCCACGACGAGGACGCGCGUGUCCCCACGGCUGGAUCCUCCGGACUUGAUGGCCCCGUUGAGUUUGGCGCUGAUGUCCCCAGCGGAGACUGACCCCUGGGGGUGCAGCAUCUGACCUGCACUGAGCCCACCUACCCAACACGUGAGGAAGGCCGCUGGGGUGCAGUGACCGCGCCGGCUGACCGGGGGUCUGGGAAGAGGCCCCCCCAUCAUCCAAGACUGAGGCUGGAAUGCAAACUGUGGGCCCCUCCUGACCCUCUGCCCACUUCCAACACCAACGCCGGGUUCUCUUAUUCAUGGUUUUAAUUGUGUGCAACAGAAGGUCUGCCUGAGCCAUGAAGACUGUCUGUGUACUUUGUAUGGCUGCUGCUGACGUCAGCCCUUCAGGUCGCACCUGGCACAAGAAGGUCACUUCCUGCGUGGAUUUCUCCCAUCCCCAGCUUGAGGGCAGAGGAGGUAGUGGGUUGCCAAACGUCUGCCAAAAGUUCCUGUCCACCUGAACCUCGGACUGUGAUCUUAUUUGGAAACAGAGUCUUUGCAGAUGUGAGUAAGGACCUGAAGAUGAUGAGCUCAUCCUGGAUUUCGGGUAGGGCCUCAGUUGAAUGACUGGUGUCCUUAUAAGAAGAGGAGAGGACACAGAGACAUGGAGGGGAGAAGGUUGUUUGAAAGACAGGGGCAGAGGUUGUAAAUCUGCUGCCACAAACCAAGGAGGCAGGAACCGCCAUGAGCUGCAGGAGGUGGCCUCAAAUCCUGUCAGCUGCUCCUGCCCUGUGACCUCACUCAGCUCCGCUUCCCCCAACUCCAGGUCUGGCAGGAAACAAGCAGGAAAAGGACCUGCAAGUUCAUGGACCAGGAUCCCGGGAGGAGUCCAAUCCAGUCGUGGUUUCAGCUGGACGGAGAGUUCUGUUGCUGCAAAGCAAAUACUUGAAAAUCUUCAAUUUGCCUCAACCCAGGACCUGACAUUCAGGGACACUGAUUCCUGAAGCAGAAGCCCC
rnacentral:lncRNA from 1 species